AUGUGCAUAUUGUGGGAAUGGGAGGAUCCAAAGUUUUUCCUAAAAGAUAUAGUGGAUCUAAAAGGGGUGGAGGAUGUUAAAAUACCUUGUGAACACUUCUCCUAUAUGGCUUAUCUGAUAGACUUGAGAAUUUGUACAAUGCUUCAAUGCCAUUUGUAGAUGUGCAAGUUGUAGGGACAGGAGGAUCCAAUUGCUAUCCUUAAAGUUAAAGUGGAUCUGAGGGGUGUAGGGUAUAAAAUAGUUUGUGAACGCUUCUCCUCCUAUAUGGCUUAUCAGAGUUCAUGUCUAUCUUCCUGCCCAUGCUUUCUCCUCCAUACUAUUCAAUACAUUAAGGGGGAUGUUUCCUAUAUUUUACGAAUUAAUUGGUUGAUUGACAACAAACUUGGUACACUUGUACAGCAUAUAUAAGGAGUAGAUGACCCCUAUUGAUUCUUAGGUCACAUGGUCAGUCCACUCUUGACAUAGGAAGGUAUUGUCUGCUCAAUAUUUUGAAUUGGUGUAACUACUAUCAAUUAAAUGAGGCACGGGUAUAACCCUUUCAAUUUUGCAACUUGGGGGGCAUAUGUGUUUUAGAAACAUCUCUUGUGUUGUAUUAUAUGAAUUACAGUUUUUAGUGUGCUCAGUUUAGAGAAUAGCAUAAAAGUAUUUGAUAAUUAAAUAUCUUACAGAUUGGCAGUUUACUCCAUGCACCGAAAGGAAUGAUAAACUGUGAUAUUCGUAAAUGGAACUGGAACACGUUCUAAAUAUACUCAGGGACAGAAUGAUGUGCAGCAAGGCUCGUCAUGGAUUUUACCAAAUACAGAACACUGCAAGGCUUGCAAAAUGAAGACCUCAGUAAAAAAAUUUCUAAAUUAUCCACUAAUGGCAGCUCACUACCUGCCCCUUGUGAUGUUAAAAGAGGCCGUUGUUCUCAUUUGUUCCAAAACAGGAAUGGCAUAUGAGGAGGCCAACAGAAGAUGCACCUCCACUGACCUCCACUGAGUGUGCACUCACAAAACGAAUAAAUUAUUAUUAUUUCUUUUGUUUGUAAUUGUAUAUUGUCAACAAGGUCAAAGGCACUUGAUCCGAUGCCAAACUUUUGCAUUUCUUUUGCUUUGUGGUAAAUUUUCUUCAGCAACAUUAACAUUGUUUAAAUUGUUUUCUUUGGAGAGUUUACAUGUACACAUGGAUCAUUUGUAUAUUAGAAUUAUAGCAUUGUUUAAUUCAA